UUUUUCUUUUGUAGUGAUACGGAUUAAACUGAUCACAACAACUCUGGAUUUACUGUUUCUGUGGACAUUGCUUUAUUUCAUCGUUGUGGAUCUUAAAGCUAAUAAUAAGGUGCUUAUUUUAAAGUUGUAUUGUAUUUAAACGCUUUGUAAAACUGUGCCGUGGACCGUUCGACAUCUAGUCUAUUUAUUGAAAACAAUACGUUAAUGCCCCGCAGUUUAUUUAGCUACUAAAAUUUGUUCUGGAAAACACAGAAACGAAAGAAGUAGAGGAGAGCGAUGAAGAGGAGGAGGGAGGAAGAUUCACAAGCCAGUGGAUCAAAACCAGCAAAUGCGGAGAAACUUGUUAAAUGGAACAGUAUGCGUGAUCUGAAACCAGACUUCUCUCAUGAUGCAGAAAAACCUGAGAGUCAUUCUGAUGUAUCUCAAUCAAAGACGAGUGUCCUCCAGCAGAUCAUCUGAACACCAACAAGACAAACCUCUAUGAAUCUCUCACGUUUCUUCAAAUGGAGCUGCAGUAGUUCAUUGUUUCCGGGCCCGGCUCCAUCCAAUCAGGUGCUUGGUCCACACCCUGGUCCCACGCCUAAUAACAACCGGCUGCAAAAAUGCUGCACUGUUCAAUUCAGCUCCAGAUUUUGAGGGAGAUUUAGCUCUUUGGCAGCUUGGAAUGUUCAUUGGUCCCACCUUACAUCUCAAAGCUGGAGCUGACUGUAUCUUCAAAUAUAUAUGUAAAUAUUGUGUAUAUGUACAUUCUGCUUUAUAACUUUGUAUCUGCUGUACUGUAAAUUGAUGUGUAUCGCCACAGGAUGAAGUAUCAAAUGGUUGACAAAUGCUCUUCGUUAUUAAUUGUAGGCCUAUGGUUCUACACUUUAUUGUAAAACUGAUUUUUAAAUGUAGAGAAGUAUGUGUCACAGAGAGAGUCUUCACUAUAAAACAUUCUGACGACAGCUAUAAAUAAAUAGCUUAUUAUGAAAAUGUGUUAUUGCUUCACAACAUGGAUAAAGGAUGAAAUCUCUGAUAGCUGAUCAUUUCUUUAUUAAAUGAUCAUUAUCAUCAGUACAAAACCAAACUAUUUACAUUAUUCA